rnacentral:rRNA from 1 species
CCUACGGGCGGCAGCAGUGGGGAAUAUUGCACAAUGGGGGAAACCCUGAUGCAGCGACGCCGCGUGAGUGAAGAAGUAUCUCGGUACGUAAAGCUCUAUCAGCAGGGAAGAAAAUGACGGUACCUGACUAAGAAGCUCCGGCUAACUACGUUCCAGCAGCCGCGGUAAUACGUAGGGGGCCAGCGUUAUCCGGAUUUACUGGGUGUAAAGGGAGCGUAGGCGGAAUCAUAAGUCUGGAGUGAAAUUCUGGGGCUUAACCCCGGAAUUGCUUUGGAAACUGGGCGGCUGGAGUGCAGGAGGGGUAGGCGGAAUUCGUGGUGUAGCGGUGAAAUGCGUAGAUAUUAGGAAGAACACCGAUGGCGAAGGCAGCUUACUGGACUGCAACUGACGUUGAGGCUCGAAAGUGUGGGGAGCAAACAGGAUUAGAUACCCCUGUAGUC